rnacentral:rRNA from 1 species
GACCUCGGAUCAGGUAGGGAUACCCGCUGAACUUAAGCAUAUCAAUAAGGCCGG